AGUUGUAAGUGGGCGCUGUCCUUUCAAGUUCUUAAGUCUUCGGUCCUCGUUGUAUGUGCGCUUAACAGCUUUGUGCUUUAACAUGAAUGUUCACCAACU
rnacentral:lncRNA from 1 species